rnacentral:lncRNA from 10 species
GGAUGGGAUCCAGGAGAAAACGUGCUGAACGUGCAGCUUGCUCCUACCGAUUACAGCCCAGCAGAUGACAUAGUUCCACUGUGCUCUAGUCCAUUAAACAGAAAGAAAUUGAAGACAGAGAUGAACACAGAUCAAGAGCCCAGGUUUCUUGAUAUCUAAUACUAAUAUACUGAUGGAGUUAAACAUUCCAAGGAAUAUAGCAUGUCUUGGUCUCUGAGAGCCAAUAUAUCUGGGUUACACUGAAAGAGGAAUAACGAGAUAAUAUUUACACUGUACAUUGAAGAUGACCUGAAAAGCUGGAAGAGCUCAGACAGACAUCAGCUGGAUGAAGCCCCAGGUUCAAACAAACUUGCCUUGGAUAUCAAAGUACUAGUAGCAAAGGAACUCCCAAUUCCUCACCUGCUGUGAAGUUUCCCAUUCACUGCAAGCAAAGUCCAGGUGAAAGCAAAGAUUCUUCACCCGCAGAAACCCUCUGGGCAGGCCAGGCACGGUGGCUCACGCCCAGAAUCCCAAUACUUUGGGAGGCCAAAGUGGGAGGAUUGCUUGAGCCCAGGAGUUCGAGACCAGCCUGGACAAUAUAGUGAGACCCCAUCUCUACAAAUAAUAAAAAAAAGUAGCCGGGCUUGGUGGCCCAUGCCUGUGGUCCCAGCUACUUGGGAGGCUGAGGCAAGAUGAUCGCCUGAGCCCAGGAGGUCGAGGCUGCA